rnacentral:rRNA from 1 species
UACGGAGGGUGCGAGCGUUAAUCGGAAUGACUGGGCGUAAAGGGCAUGUAGGCGGGUCAUUAAGUUAGGUGUGAAAUCCCCGGGCUCAACCUGGGAACUGCACUUAAAACUGGUGGUCUGGAGUAUUGUAGAGGAAGGUAGAAUUCCACGUGUAGCGGUGAAAUGCGUAGAGAUGUGGAGGAAUACCGGUGGCGAAGGCGGCCUUCUGGACAAAUACUGACGCUGAGAUGCGAAAGCGUGGGGAGCAAAC